UAAAUUUUGACCACUUUAAUUUUCUCUAAAUAAGUCUCUUAGGUUUAUCACUUACAUCAGUAGAUCCUCUGCAUAUGAGUCUUCAACUAAGUUCAUUUCAUCAGAGUCAGCUUAGAGUCAUCUAAGAUAUGUCAAUGUUCCAUCUGAGUCCUUCAUAUGGGUUAAAUAGUCAACUCCAAGGACCUAAAGGUCAAAGGAGGAUCAUUUUAAC
rnacentral:lncRNA from 1 species